rfam:Cajanus cajan CcLG06_261, whole genome shotgun sequence.
GUUGAGGGGAAUGGUGUCUGGUUUGAGACCAUUCUUCCAAAGCAAAGAUCACCCUUCAACUAAGAAUGAUCUCGGACCAGGCUUCAUUCCCCUUAGC